rnacentral:misc_RNA from 1 species
AUCCUUUAGAGAGGGAAGUAGAUGAUGUUGUUGGUGAUGAUGACAAUGAAUUCAUUACUGGUAUUGUACCUCUUCCGAAUGAUGUUGUUGAACCAGCGCAAGAUGGAAGAUCACAGGGAGAACAAACAUCACAAGCACAAGUUCAAGUACAAGCAAAAAGAAAGAGGUCUAUGAAGCCUAGAAAGAAGUUAAGAAGCCUCCAGUCUCUGAUGCGUGAUGUUCAAGUUCAAGUGCAGCAGUCCUCAUCAGAUUCAGAAGAUGGUGACAUUGCAAUGGAAUCCUCUGAAUCUGAUAAGUCUCCACAUGCCUUUGAUUCUGAUUGAUGCUAGAUUACAAUGUUAUAUUUGACCUUGUGGACAGUCAUUUUGGGUGAACUGUGAACUAAACUAAUGAUCUCAAUGUCUUGGAGCUUAGACAUUUUGUUUUAAGUUAAGC